AUUGAACGCUGGCGGCAGGCCUAACACAUGCAAGUCGAGCGGAUGAAGGGAGCUUGCUCCUGGAUUCAGCGGCGGACGGGUGAGUAAUGCCUAGGAAUCUGCCUGGUAGUGGGGGAUAACGUCCGGAAGCGGGCGCUAAUACCGCAUACGUCCUGAGGGAGAAAGUGGGGGAUCUUCGGGCCUCACGCUAUCAGAUGAGCCUAGGUCGGAUUAGCUAGUUGGUGGGGUAAAGGCCUACCAAGGCGACGAUCCGUAACUGGUCUGAGAGGAUGAUCAGUCACACUGGAACUGAGACACGGUCCAGACUCCUACGGGAGGCAGCAGUGGGGAAUAUUGGACAAUGGGCGAAAGCCUGAUCCAGCCAUGCCGCGUGUGUGAAGAAGGUCUUCGGAUUGUAAAGCACUUUAAGUUGGGAGGAAGGGCAGUAAGUUAAUACCUUGCUGUUUUGACGUUACCAACAGAAUAAGCACCGGCUAACUUCGUG
rnacentral:rRNA from 1 species